UUCAACGCAAUGGUGUUCCACCUCUAGAAUACAGUAACCAACUGCUUUUUCACGGUUUAUAGUAGAUGGGUUCGAUGUACGUUCAUUUGAAGAAAUAUAAAGUCUAAGGGAAAGCGAUGGGCAUAGAAGUGGAAGAUCCUAGAUGCCCGUCAUCGCCGGGUUCGACAAAAACGGAAAAAUCCUCUUCUCACCGAUGAUCGAGCGAAGGAGACGAAGAAAAAGAGAGAGGAGAUAGGCGAGAAACGGUGCCAGCACGGCAGGAUAAUGAUGAGCUUGUAGUGGCGCAGAGUGCACGAGGUCAAACAAUCCUUGCAAAGGCGAGUUCCACUCCAGGCAAUAAACGCAAGGAGUACGUGAACCGGGACAUCAACGCCGCCAUCCAUAUCAUGUAAAGUGUACUGCUCGAGGCGAGAACCGGGAAGCUGUCGCUAUGCGACUUGGUGUGGCAGCCUCUCAGGGUCGUUCUCUGCCUGGAUAAAACAAAAUCUAUAGCAGUCAGCGGGUCAAAGAAGGACUGGAGGCGUCUGUAAGUGUAUGUAUCAUUACGCUCUAGUGUCGCAGAGCGUUUUCUGCAUCACUGACCACAUACAUACUCAGACACCGACGCGGUAGGUGGCGGUUGGAAGCCCCAGCAUGUCAUCGACACACUGCAUUUUUGCAAAAGAAUCAGGCAUUGCCUCGAUGUACGCAAAGAGCCUUGAUCGCGACUGGCUCUCGACCGCAUGAAGAAAGGCAGCGGCUCACGGGAGACUGGCGGCGGCUCGUUGAGUCGGAAACGCCGUUCACAUCAGAGGCGAAACCGCGACAGUACGGCACGAUGUUUGAUCCCUUGUCGCCACAGCACUGCGCUUGUGAUCGGCACUGCGAGCGGUACACAUAUACGAUGGGAAGCUUUUCGGCACGAAAGCAUAGCACAUGAGUGUAUCCUGGCUACGCAUCCUGUUGGAUUCCAGGAAUACGGCACAUGCUGGCCUCGCACAGAAGCAUACUGCAGUUCGUGUCAGCGCCCGCACACGGCAUUACGCAAGCACCAGGUAUUCAUCGGUGGUCGCGUAAGGUGCCGCAACUGAAUCCUCACAGGAUACAUCUCAGCUCGAAUUCCGAGGAGAGCACCAGUAUGGAGUGCGAGACACGUUGAAACGCUCAUGGUGAACCCGAGGUCUCUUGUGUGGCCACCAGCAGCAUUUGGGUACACCGGGGAAAGCUCGAUGAAUGCAUGGAGUUCGCACCGUAUGAGACGAGUGUGCGUGACCUGGCAAGCGCACAACCAGCGUCUGGCGAAGCGCUUCAGUCGCUGCCCUGUGCCUGCAUUAGAAGCAUAUGCGUGAGCCCGACAGAGGUGCAGCACCUGGAUUAUCGCGAGAUCGGUCGAGCAUCCAUUCCUGACGGGUAUUCUGCUCUAGAAAUGAGCGGAGCGUCGUCGCACUUAGAGAGAGAAGAUGGCGGCUUCUCUGGUAUCAGACUAUUUGCAUGCACGCAUACAUGCAAGUCAUAAUACCAUUGACGGAAUCCUCUGACUCGUUCAUACACGACAAAGGUUUGGUCUGUUCCCACAGUAGGCAGCAUAGGACGUGGCUGGCUCUAUCUCCGAGUGCUUCCUUCGCCUCUCGCUUAUCUCCAGGUUCAAAUACGCCGGUCGCUCAUUUCCCACCAUGCCUCUCUUCAGCAGUCGAAGGAUGCUGAUGGCAGUGCGUGCGAGUCCCGAUUUCGAUGCCUCCGGCUGCUAUCGGAGCAGACCAUGAGCGAGCGAAUGCUGUGAUUCGCGCUUCGCUCGCAGUUUCCAUUGCUUCCUGGAGACAGCCCCGGUGCGCUCAAUGCAACUCUGAUUUGGGGCUGCUGUCAGAGGUGCAGCUAUGUCCGUCGAGGCCCCCGUCUUGUCCGACGGGCGACGCUCUGGUUCACGAGCGCUUGCCCCAUUGCUCAGCGCAUGCCAUGGACCGAUACAGGAAGGCUCCCGUCGAUGCGCUCCUCUGCUACCGGGGCUGGUGGUGUACCCAGCGAUCACAGGCUCCGUGCGGGUGAUCCACUCGGCGAGUACUCACUCUGCCCGCUGCUGUCGCACGCGUUUGCUCACAGGUUCGAUAGGGAGCUUGCGAGAGGCGUUGCUCGCUUCGAUGGAGCAAGAGCCAGAGGGAAGUCCCCGGGCUGGAGAUCAAGCCGAGAACUCUCGGACGGAAUGCGCUUUCGUCUCGCAAAGCGGUGACGCGCGCUGCACUCGAAGCGAUCGCUGCGACGACUCGAGUGUGCGUCCAAUACGCGUUCUCCGCUGCAGUCAGAAGUCAAGGGAGCCUCUGGGGAUCGUUUCCCGCAACCGUUAUCAAGCGGUUGCUGCACGCCAUGCCGUCGAUGACCACAAACCGAGGCGGCGAUGAAUUUUGGACGGCCUCGAUAACUUGACGUGACAGGUUGAGCGGGCUUUUGGCAUGCGCUCACGAGCACGCCAAUAAGGGACGACGUCAAGGCUCCCUCGCCGUGGAGCUCUGCGCACGAGACGCUGCACCCGCGAGGUGCCUCGAAGCCCAGCAAUCGAACACCUGCGCAAUACGUCACGGAGGAUAGCGCAGGCUCGCCUGUAUGCAUUGGAUACUGAUAUCGAUUAUUUUAGGGUGCGUUUCUCGAGCCCAUUUCGAAUCAUCACGAUUUUCGUAUGGUAACGAAUGCUGGCGGCGACGCGUCGAAUGAACCAAUCCGAAACAACCACCGCGAGCAUCCGAUACGUAGUACGUACAAAUCGGUUAUCCUUCAUAGUGGCACGUCGGACGUCGGUGCUGUACAGCGUAGGAACUCUGGAAAAGAUUUAAAAAGCAGCAU
rnacentral:misc_RNA from 1 species